AACUGCAAGGAUGAUGAUGGCAGUGCUCGUUUCCUGAUAUGAAUUCAUGUUUCCCACAGUCAGGAACACAAUGCCAGACCUUAUCCCAAUUACUCCGCGUGCUAAUAUGGCAACGCAGAACACAAAGGAUGUGAAGGGCUGUGAGUUAAGGAGGGAAGCCAUGUUCUUUUGCGCUUUCUCACAUAUUCCCUGUAAAUCACAUCCGGAGCAAACUCUUUAGCUUUCUGGUUGCUUUGUUGCUUUUAUAGUCCAGUCUGGCUCUGAGCAGUUGGAAAUUCCAAUUCACAUCUAAGCCGAGGCUCUUUCACAUCCUUGACCUUUACCAGCUCAAGGGAUGUGGAUGGGGAGAAGGGGUCUCUCUCCUCUUUCCUGUAGCCUCCACUCCUAAGACUUUACCAGGUGCAGAGAAUAGAGAAAUGGACAAUGCAAGUGUCUCUUGGUCUCAGUGUGGUGACUUCUAAGCCACCAUCACUGGUCAGAGCUGUGAAUCCAAGCGCUGGUUCACAUGUGAACAAAGUGUGUGGUCUCAGGAGGGCAGGAGCCACCCACUCACACUGCUUCUCAGGAUGACGUACCCACCCCACCUCUCCCUCCACCCCAUCUUUGUGUAUCUUUGUGGUCUCUGGUUAUUUGGAUUAUAUUGUCUACAAUGAAUAUAUGCAUAUAAUGACUAUGGCCAGGUGCUCUUCAGAAAUGUUCCAUCAACCCUUAGAGAAAUCAUACUUUUCUAAUGUCUAUACUUAGGGAAUAGUGGUUUUUAGAGAAAUCUGAAUUAGAGUGGUUUGAUCCACCUCAAGGUUAUCUUUAAGAACAAUCCAAAACAUCUGCCUUUGGCCAGAUGUAAAUGAACUUCAGAACCCAAUUCUUCUGUCCUAUAGUUUUCUCCUUCUCCACAGCCAUGAGUUAUAACCUCUGGCCUGUGAGGAAACGGCUGCAGAGGACAGCAUGGGAGGGUUGUAAGGAGGCAUCUUAGUCACUGUUCUGUUAUUAUCGAGACACCGUGACCAAGGCAACUCUUAUAAAAGAGAGCAUUUGAUUGAGGGCUUGCUUAUCGUUUCGGAGGCUUAGUCCAUUAUCAUCGUGGUGGGGCCAUGACAGCACCCAUGGCACUGGAACAGUAGCUCAGAGUUACAUCCUGAUCCAUAAGCAGAGAAAGGGAGACUGAGACGUUUACUCUAGCUAAGUGCCCAGAGGGGGAAGGCAGUGUAGUGCAGUGAUGCAGUGCAGUCAUUGUCAUGGAGUGACUCCAUUCCAGCCAGAAGUGUCAUCUUAGAGGUUCCCUCAGAUCCCCCUUACCCAGUUCCCUAGGCACCCACCUUUUUCCCUUUGAUGUUCAUCAAUGAAUGAUCAGUCAUCCCACAACCCAUGACAUAUUGGCCUGUGAUGCACAAUCAUCUCACUCUCAACCCUUAAUGGACCUGGCACUAUGCCUUCCUGUAGAUGCCAUUUUCCUUUGCCUACAGAGAUAGUUAAGCCAGCAAAGCCCAAAUCUGUGGAACUGAGGAGUAAGCCACUUACAUAUGAUACCUGGACAUGAUGAUGAGAGGUGACGUUCUACCCGUUAACCCCAUUUAUGGGAAAACUGCACCCCACGUUAUUCUCUAGAUCAAAACAUUGUGUAGAACAAUAACGCAGCCUCUCGACUCCGACUCACAACUGCUGUUGCAUCUCAAUCCACAACCGGCCAAUCCAUUCUUGUUCAGGGCCCAAUGCUUCAGGAUAGAUGGCAGACAUAAGAUAAUCCCGUGGACAUUUAGCCGUGACUGUGGCCAUCUAAGCUCAAGCAUGUGAUACUGUCAGACUCAUGGCAUGUGUGGAAGGUGCUGUUUGUAUCCAGGAACUAGUGUCUAUUCCAGGAGGAAAGAGUUGAUAGACAUAUCUGGUAUCCAAGUGCCUUCCAAGUUCUCCCCAAGUUCUGGGUCUAAGAGCCAGUCUACACCAUAUUUGAAUAUGAUUCCCCAGUUCAUUCACUGCCUAAAUAGACAUCCCCCGAGCCCUAAUUAGAAUAUAGAAUUGUUUUCUAUGUCUGGCUGAUUUUACUUAGUGUGAGGUCUCUGUUUUAUCUAUUUUUUCUUCAUAUGAUGGAGUUUCAUUCUGAAUAACACUUCUGUGCAUUUAAUUUAUUUACCAAUUCAUGUGCUGGUGGGCACCCAAGCUAACUUUCUAAGAACUAUGUUAAGUCCUAAAACUAGUUAGGACUUGAGUCCUAAAACUAGUUAGGUCUUGAAUCUUAAAACUAGUUCAUUAAAACUAAUUCAGACUUGAAUCUUAAAACUACUUAGUACUUUAACAAAUUUGGAAUUUUUUAUUUGGAAUUUUUUUAUUGCUUCAGGUUAAGUAGAAACUUGGAAGACUUCUUAAGUCCUAGAAUUCCUAUGUUAUAAAACCCACCAAAGAAUUCAUUCACUCUUUUUGACCAUGACUGUGGCUUGGGUUCUUGUUAUGAUGCCAUUGGCUUGAGGUCACAUGUACAUUGCCUUUGCCUUCCAAGUUCUCCUCAAGUUCUGGGUCUAAGAGCCAGUCUACACCCUGUUGCAUGCAGCCUAUAAGGCAACUAAGAAGCUCAUGUUAGUAGCAUGGGUUCCAUAUCCAUCAUCGGCCUUCCCAGAACAAACCUUUAGCACUUUUCAAGGGUGCCGGUAUGAGAUAGAGAUACAGAUAUAGAUAUAAAUAUAUUCCCUAGGGCAUCUAGCAGAUGUUAAAAAAAGACUAAUGAAGGUAAGUGAAUAGU
rnacentral:lncRNA from 1 species